rnacentral:sRNA from 1 species
GGAUGUGAGGGUGAUCUGGCUGCGACAUCUGUCACCCCACUGAUCACCAGGCUUGAUUUGGCUGAUCUGGUUGGCUAGGCAGGUUCCCCUUCCUCCCUCACUGCACCUUGUGCACCUCUCCCAAAGCUGAGGAAUUCAGGUGCUGUUUUGCUUAUCUAAGAGAGGGGAGGAAAGAGGAGGAAAAGCUAAGGGAUGAUUUUACUCUUAAGUGUAAUAUGGAGAAUUGAAACACAUGAGCUUGAUGGUAUAUUGCACCAAAGU